CAAAUCAAAUAAAAGAGAAAAAGGCCGAGGCCAAAAAGCAUAAAACAAAACUCCUAAACAAUAAUCAAAAUACCUAACAAACCCUAAAAAUCAACAGCCAGUCUUCAUUCAUUUGACGAAUCCAUUUCUUUUUUCACAUUUUCUGCAUUUCAUUUCUAGAGAGAUUCGUUUAACAAACCAAGAAAACAAUGACUCAGAUAUCCCUUCAGAGAGAGAAUUUAUUCCCAAAAUAGUUACUCUGGUGUGUGAGCAAAUUAAGUCAGAUACCGUUAUUGUCAAAACAUUUCUUUUCCCCAAUCUUCAAAUGACUCAAUAUAGGCAUUCCCAUUUUACCAUUUUCUUGUCAUAUCAUCGAUGGUUCCUUAUCCCCAACUGGAACUCGUCGAUUAUGUUUUCCUUCCAUGGCUUUAUAUUCCUCGACAGCCUGGGUAACAGAUCUAGGGAGGCCAUUUCUCAGAUAAGUAUCUUCUUUCAUAUUGAUUCCUUCCUUUGCUAAUAGAUGUGCCACUUUGUUCAUUUGUCUCAUUGCAUGUCUAAAUCUACAGGAGAUAAAGUAAUUUUUUAAUCAUUUAGCAUCAAUAAUCGUCAAAGUUGAUUUUAACAUAAUUCUCCUCAAGAGCUCUCCAGUUUUCCGUCAUCAGUUUGUUAACAGGGUCCACCCAAUCCCUAAUUUGGCCCAAAUAUCGUGUACCAGAGGGCAGUCUCUAAACACAUGUUCUACCGUUUCUUCACUUUACGAGUAUCUUGGACAGAUUACGAAGCUUACCAGCUUUCGUCGAAAAAGAUUAGUUUGAGUAGGAAGGAAAUUAUUUAGAGUUUUUCAUACUAAUAUUUUAAUCUUCAAUGGCAUAUCCACAAGCCAAAAUUUCUUGUACAUAGAUUUGUAUUGGCUUUGCAAGGUCUGUAAAUUAAUGUCCCAAUCAUUUUGUAACUGCUGCGUACUAUGUAAGUCCCCGAAGCUUUUGCUCUCCACACCAUGCUAUUUGUUUCUUUUUCAAUUGAGAGAGGAACACACGAAAUCUUCUCAGCCUCAUCAUGGUGAAAGGUAUUUCUAAUUAACUCCUCUUUUCAUUUAUUUUCAUAUUGUUCAAUUAACUCAGAAAGGUAUACUAAAUUUGGGUUAAUGAUAGUUGGAUCUUGUAAUUUGUGGCACCUGGGACCCACGCUCCAUUCCAAAUUGAAAUUUCCUCUCUAAACCCAACUCUUUAACACAUCCCUUUCUCAAUAAGGUCUUUUACUGCCCAUAGACU